rnacentral:rRNA from 1 species
UGCGUAACAGCUCACUGGUCGAGUGGACAUGCGCCGACAAUACACGGGGCUAAGCUGGACACCGAAGCGGCGGGAUUUUAAUUCAUUAGAAUCGGUAGGGGAGCUUCCCAUGGGCGGAGAAGCCGGAGGGCGACCGACGGUGGAGCGCAUGGGAGUGAGAAUGCUGGCAUGAGUAGCGAGAGACGAGAGAGUAACUCGUCCGCCGUGAACCCGAGGUUUCCUGGGCAAGGCUAAUCCUCCCAGGGUCAGUCGGGGGCUAAGGCGAGGCCGGUAGGCGUAGCCGACGCGCAGCAGGCAGACAUUCCUGCACCGCGCACGCGGCGCUACGACCGACGGGGCGACGGAUGGGGGUGGCUCGGCGGGGUUCUGGACGUCCCCGUGAUGGAGCGCGGCCCGCGGACCAGGGAAAUCCGGUCCGCACGAAGGGCGAGGCUCCGGACGAAGCACUUAAGCGAAGCGAGUGAGCCCGAGGUCCCUAGAAAAACCCCUAGGCAGGCGCGUGCGCGCCCGUACCGCAAACCGACACAGGUGGGUGGGUAGAACAUACCGAGGCGAUCGGGUCAACCAUGGUCAAGGAACUCGGCACAAUGGCCCCGUAACUUCGGGAGAAGGGGUGCCCGCGCGUACGUGAACCGGCUUGCCCGGGGAGCGGAGGCGGGCCGCAGUGGAGAGGCCCAAGCGACUGUUUACCAAAAACACAGGACUCUGCAGAAGCCGCAAGGCGACGUAUAGGGUCUGACGCCUGCCCGGUGCCGGAAGGUCACGCGGAGGAGUUAGCCGAUUCGGCGAAGCCCCGAAGCCAAGCCCCGGUAAACGGCGGCCGUAACUAUAACGGUCCUAAGGUAGCGAAAUUCCUUGUCGGGUAAGUUCCGACCUGCACGAAAGGCGCAACGACUUGGGCGCUGUCUCGACCAUGGACCCGGUGAAAUUGCACUGGUCGUGAAGAUGCGACUUACCCGCGGAAGGACGGAAAGACCCCGUGAACCUUCACUGCAGCUUGGCAUUGGCCGCUGGUCCCGCGUGUAGAGGAUAGGCAGGAGGCAUCGAUCCGGAGGCGCCAGCCCCCGGGGAGCCGCCCUUGGAAUACUGCCCUCGCGCGACCGGCGUCCUAACCCGAGGCCGUCAACCGGCUCGGGGACCGUGCCAGGCGGGCAGUUUGACUGGGGCGGUCGCCUCCUAAAGGGUAACGGAGGCGCGCGAAGGUCCGCUCGGGACGGUCGGCAACCGUCCUUUUGAAUGCAAGAGUACAAGCGGGCUUGACUGCGAGGCCCACAAGCCGAGCAGGUGCGAAAGCAGGCUCUAGUGAUCCGGCGGCCCCGAGUGGGUGGGCCGUCGCUCAACGGAUAAAAGGUACUCCGGGGAUAACAGGCUGAUCUUGCCCAAGAGUCCACAUCGACGGCAAGGUUUGGCACCUCGAUGUCGGCUCAUCGCAUCCUGGGGCUGGAGCAGGUCCCAAGGGUACGGCUGUUCGCCGUUUAAAGCGGUACGCGAGCUGGGUUCAGAACGUCGUGAGACAGUUCGGUCCCUAUCCUCCGUGGGCGCAGGAGAAUCGAUGGAGGCUGCCCCCAGUACGAGAGGACCGGGGUGGACGCACCUCCGGUGAACCGGUUGUCGACCAACGGCACGGCCGGGUAGCCGCGUGCGGCGCGGAUAACCGCUGAAGGCAUCUAAGCGGGAAGCCGUUCCAGGGAUUAGUUCUCCUUCCGGUAAGGGCCCAGGUAGACUACCUGGUCGAUAGACGGCAGGUGCAAGGCUGGCGACAGCCUCAGCCGAGCCGCACUAAUCGCCCGAGCUCUUCCGGAA